AGAGUUUGAUCAUGGCUCAGGACGAACGCUGGCGGCGUGCCUAACACAUGCAAGCCUGGGAGAAGAGGGUAGCAAUAUCCUUUGUAAACCGGCGCACGGGUGAGUAAUAUAUAGGUAACCUGCCCUUUGGUUUGGAAUAACUCGUCGAAAGGCGAGCUAAUACUGAACGAUGCAGCGGCCCCACAUGGGGAUGUUGUUAAAGCCUUCGGGCGCCAAAGGAUGGGCCUGUAUCCCAUUAGAUAGUUGGCGAGGUAACGGCUCACCAAGUCUAUGAUGGGUAGCUGAUCUGAGAGGAUGAUCAGCCACACUGGAACUGAGACACGGUCCAGACUCCUACGGGAGGCAGCAGUGAGGAAUAUUGCGCAAUGGAUGAAAGUCUGACGCAGCGACGCCGCGUGGAGGAUGAAGGCCCUUUGGGUUGUAAACUCCUGUAGAGUGGGAAGAAUAUCCCUUUUGAAGGGUUUGACGGUACCACUAAAGUAAGGAUCGGCUAACUACGUGCCAGCAGCCGCGGUAAUACGUAGGAUCCGAGCGUUGUCCGGAAUUACUGGGUGUAAAGGGAGCGCAGGCGGGUCUAUAAGUCGACGGUGAAAUCUUCCAGCUCAACUGGAAAACUGCCGCCGAUACUGUAGAUCUUGAGUAUGAAAGAGGGAAGCGGAAUUCAUGGUGUAGCGGUGAAAUGCGUAGAUAUCAUGAAGAACACCAGUCGCGAAGGCGGCUUCCUGGUUCAUUACUGACGCUCAUGCUCGAAAGUGUGGGGAGCAAACAGGAUUAGAUACCCUGGUAGUCCACACCUUAAACGAUGAAUACUAGGUGUCGGGGCGAAAGUCUCGGUGCCAAAGCUAACGCAUUAAGUAUUCCACCUGGGGAGUACGAUCGCAAGGUUGAAACUCAAAGGAAUUGACGG
rnacentral:rRNA from 1 species